rnacentral:rRNA from 1 species
CGGACGGGUGAGUAAUGCUUGGGAAUCUGGCUUAUGGAGGGGGAUAACUGUGGGAAACUGCAGCUAAUACCGCGUAUUCUCUGAGGAGGAAAGGGUGGGACCUUAGGGCCACCUGCCAUAAGAUGAGCCCAAGUGGGAUUAGGUAGUUGGUGGGGUAAAGGCCUACCAAGCCUGCGAUCUCUAGCUGGUCUGAGAGGAUGACCAGCCACACUGGAACUGAGACACGGUCCAGACUCCUACGGGAGGCAGCAGUGGGGAAUAUUGCGCAAUGGGGGGAACCCUGACGCAGCCAUGCCGCGUGAAUGAAGAAGGCCUUCGGGUUGUAAAGUUCUUUCGGUAAUGAGGAAGGGAUGUUGUUAAAUAGAUAGCAUCAUUGACGUUAAUUACAGAAGAAGCACCGGCUAACUCCGUGCCAGCAGCCGCGGUAAUACGGAGGGUGUGAGCGUUAAUCGGAAUAACUGGGCGUAAAGGGCACGCAGGCGGACUUUUAAGUGAGAUGUGAAAUCCCCGAGCUUAACUUGGGAACUGCAUUUCAGACUGGGAGUCUAGAGUACUUUAGGGAGGGGUGGAAUUCCACGUGCAGCGGUGAAAUGCGUAGAGAUGUGGAGGAAUACCGAAGGCGAAGGCAGCCCCUUGGGAAUGUACUGACGCUCAUGUGCGAAAGCGUGGGGAGCAAACAGGAUUAGAUACCCUGGUAGUCCACGCUGUAAACGCUGUCGAUUUGGGGAUUGGGCUAUAUGCUUGGUGCCCGAAGCUAACGUGAUAAAUCGACCGCCUGGGGAGUA